GUCCCCGUAGCUCAGCUGGAUAGAGCGUUUGGCUACGAACCAAAAGGUCGGGGGUUCGACUCCCUCCGGGGAUACCA
rnacentral:tRNA from 1 species